AUCGGAAAUGCUGACUUGCAUUAAGAACUACGGAGCAAUAUGUGAUGACAAACAGCAACACAGUCAUGUUUAGAAUGAUGGAAUACACGUACAAUCCAGUAUGCAUCACUAACAAAGCAGAAUUGACGGGAUUAAUUUCCUCCUGCUUCAAUGACGAGGUGUAUCAAGAAGAGUUGCUGGAAUGCCACAACAAUGCAGAGCAAGAAUAUAUAUAAAAAAAAGAGAAUAACAGGUCACCAAGCAGAGCAAACAAAGACCCAGUAGACUGUGGAAUUGUAGAUGGUUGGGCAAGUUGUAUACACGAUGUAAUCAAAGCGUGCAGUCCGGAGAACGCACAUGUAUUUCUACCAAUAGUAGAGGCAGCUAAACCAGGCAUUUGUAUUAUGUGAACAAUUUUUUUUCGACUGUGGAACAAGU